AAGGAAUUGGACGGGGACCCCCACCAACGGGGGGAUGAUGGGAUUAAUUGGAUGCAACGCGAAAAACCUUACCUACCCUGGACAUGUCUGGAAACCCUGGUGAGAGCCCGAGGGGCCUUUCGGGGAACCAGAACACAGGUGCUGCAUGACUGUCGUCAGCUCGUGUCGUGAGAUGUUGGGGUUAAGUCCCGCAACGAGCGCAACCCCUGUCAUUAGUUGCCCAUCAUUUAGUUGGCACUCUAAUGAGACUGCCGGUGACAAACCGGAGGAAGGUGGGGAUGACGUCAAGUCCUCAUGGCCCUUAUGGGUAGGGGCUUCACACGUCAUACAAUGGUCGGUACAGAGGGUGCCAAGCCGCGAGGUGGAGCGAAUCCCUUAAAGCCGAUCGUAGUCCGGAUCGUAGUCUGCAACUCGACUACGUGAAGUCGGAAUCGCUAGUAAUCGCAGAUCAGCAUGCUGCGGUGAAUACGUUCCCGGGUCUUGUACACACCGCCCGUCACACCAUGGGAGUGGGUUUCACCAGAAGUAGGUAGCCUAACCCUCGGGAGGGCGCUUACCACGGUGAGAUUCAUGAAUGGGGUGAAGUCGUAACAAGGUAGCCGUAA
rnacentral:rRNA from 1 species